rnacentral:tRNA from 1 species
GGGCUGGUAGCUGAGACGGUCUAGCGCUGGUCUGAAGAGCCGGAGACGUGGAUUCGAGCGCCACCCAGCCCA